CCUACGGGUGGCAGCAGUGGGGAAUAUUGGACAAUGGGCGAAAGCCUGAUCCAGCCAUGCCGCGUGUGUGAAGAAGGCCUUCGGGUUGUAAAGCACUUUCAGUGGGGAAGAAAGCCUUGGGGCUAAUACCCUCGAGGAAGGACAUCACCGACAGAAGAAGCACCGGCUAACUCCGUGCCAGCAGCCGCGGUAAUACGGAGGGUGCGAGCGUUAAUCGGAAUUACUGGGCGUAAAGCGCGCGUAGGCGGUCUGAUAAGCCGGUUGUGAAAGCCCCGGGCUCAACCUGGGAACGGCAUCCGGAACUGUCAGGCUAGAGUGCAGGAGAGGAAGGUAGAAUUCCCGGUGUAGCGGUGAAAUGCGUAGAGAUCGGGAGGAAUACCAGUGGCGAAGGCGGCCUUCUGGACUGACACUGACGCUGAGGUGCGAAAGCGUGGGUAGCAAACAGGAUUAGAUACCCCAGUAGUC
rnacentral:rRNA from 1 species